rnacentral:rRNA from 1 species
CGAAGAACCUUACGUACCCUUGACAUGUCCGGAACUUGCCAGAGAUGGCUUGGGUGCCCGAAAGGGAAUCGGAACACAGGUGCUGCAUGGCUGUCGUCAGCUCGUGUCGUGAGAUGUUGGGUUAAGUCCCGCAACGAGCGCAACCCUUAUCAUUAGUUGCUACGCAAGGGCACUCUAAUGAGACUGCCGGUGACAAACCGGAGGAAGUGGGGAUGACGUCAAGUCCUCAUGGCCCUUAUGGGUAGGGCUUCACACGUCAUACAAUGGUCGGUACAGAGGGUUGCCAAGCCGCGAGGCGGAGCCAAUCCCACAAAGCCGAUCGUAGUCCGGAUUGUUCUCUGCAACUCGAGAGCAUGAAGUCGGAAUCGCUAGUAAUCGCAGGUCAGCAUACUGCGGUGAAUACGUUCCCGGGUCUU